GUCGCCUCCCAGUCCGGAGGGAAACGCCCGUUACUGAGGAUGACGGCGCAGUCGAAGGGUUCGUGGUUGAAGUCCACGGUGUCGAUG
rnacentral:tRNA from 1 species